rnacentral:rRNA from 1 species
GACGAACGCUGGCGGCGUGCUUAAUACAUGCAAGUCGAGCGGAGCGGCGAACGGGUGAGUAACGCGUGAGUAACUGCCCCCCUCCCUGGGAUAACAGAUGGAAACGGCUGCCAAUACCGGAUAGUGGGGGAUGACUCGCGUCCUAUCAGCUUGUUGGUGGGGUAGUGGCCUACCGAGGCGACGACGGGUAGCCGGCCUGAGAGGGGACACGGCCACAUUGGGCUGAGGGAGGGCCCAAACUGCUACGGGAGGCAGGAGGGGGGAAUAUUGCGCAGUGAGGGAGAGUAUGAUGCAGCAACGCGCGUGCGUGAUGACGGCCUUCGGGUUGUAAACCGCUUUCAGCUAAGACGCGGUAGUGGCAGAAGAAGCACCGGCUAACUACGUGCCAGCAGCCGCGGUAAUAC